GACGAACGCUGGCGGCGUGCUUAACACAUGCAAGUCGAACGGAAAGGCCUGCUUUCCCUUGUGGAUUGCGGGUACUCGAGUGGCGAACGGGUGAGUAACACGUGAGUGAUCUGCCCCCAACUUGGGUAUAAGCCUGGGAAACUGGGUCUAAUUCCCGAUAGGACUGCAGGGUGGUGCCUGUGGUGGAAAACGAUUUUCUAGUGGUUGGGGAUGAGCUCGCGGCCUAUCAGCUUGUUGGUGGGGUAAUGGCCUACGAAGGCGGCGACGGGUAGCCGGCCUGAGAGGGUGGACGGUGACAGUGGGACUGGGAUACGGCCCAGACUCCUACGGGAGGCAGCAGUGGGGAAUAUUGCACAAUGGUCGGAAGCCUGAUGCAGCGACGCAGCGUGGGGGAUGACGGCCUUCGGGUUGUAAACUCCUUUCGACCGCGAGGAAGCCACCUGGUUGGAAGGGUGGUGACGGUAGUGGUAGAAGAAGCACCGGCUAACUACGUG
rnacentral:rRNA from 1 species